GUGCUCCUUGCAGCAGCACAUAUACCUAAAACUGGAAUGAUGCAGAGAAGAUUAGCACAGACCCUGGGCAAGGAUGACACACAAGUUUGUGAAUGUUCGAUAUUUUUU
rnacentral:snRNA from 1 species